GAUGAAGAACGCAGCGAAAUGCGAUACUUGGUGUGAAUUGCAGAAUCCCGUGAACCAUCGAGUCUUUGAACGCAAGUUGCGCCCGAAGCCAUUAGGCCGAGGGCACGCCUGCCUGGGCGUCACACGUCGUUGCCCCCCCAUCUAAUCCUGCGGGAUUGCGGGGGGCGGAUGAUGGCCUCCCGUGCGCCUCGUCGCGCGGUUGGCAUAAAUGCCAAGUCCUCGGCGACGCACGCCACGACAAUCGGUGGUUGCGAAACCUCGGUUGCCCGUCGUGUGCGGUCGUCGCGAAUCGAGGGCUCGAAAAAAUUGCCGGGCUCCGGCUCGACUUUCAACGCGACCCCAGGUCAGGCGGGGUUACCCGCUGAAUUUAAGCAUAUCAAUAAGCGGAGGA
rnacentral:misc_RNA from 1 species